ACGUUGACGUCGUGGACUCGAGAGACGCUGGCGGCGUGCCUAAUACAUGCAAGUCGAGCGGAGUUUCCGCGACGGAAGCCUUCGGGUGGAAGACGCGGGGACUUAGCGGCGGACGGGUGAGUAACACGUGGGCAACCUGCCCGGAAGACCGGGAUAACAUCCGGAAACGGAUGCUAAUACCGGAUAGGCGGUCUUCUCGCAUGAGGGGACCGGGAAAGGCGGGGCAACCUGCCACUUCCGGAUGGGCCUGCGGCGCAUUAGCUAGUUGGCGGGGUAACGGCCCACCAAGGCGACGAUGCGUAGCCGACCUGAGAGGGUGACCGGCCACACUGGGACUGAGACACGGCCCAGACUCCUACGGGAGGCAGCAGUAGGGAAUCUUCCGCAAUGGGCGAAAGCCUGACGGAGCGACGCCGCGUGAGUGAGGAAGGUCUUCGGAUCGUAAAGCUCUGUUGCCAGGGAAGAAGACUUGGGAGAGUAACUGCUCUCAAGGUGACGGUACCUGAGAAGAAAGCCCCGGCUAACUACGUG
rnacentral:rRNA from 1 species